rnacentral:rRNA from 1 species
CGGGGUGAGUAAUGUCUGGGAAACUGCCUGAUGGAGGGGGAUAACUACUGGAAACGGUAGCUAAUACCGCAUAACGUCGCAAGACCAAAGAGGGGGACCUUCGGGCCUCUUGCCAUCGGAUGUGCCCAGAUGGGAUUAGCUAGCAGGUGGGGUAACGGCUCACCUAGGCGACGAUCCCUAGCUGGUCUGAGAGGAUGACCAGCCACACUGGAACUGAGACACGGUCCAG